rnacentral:rRNA from 1 species
UACGGGGGGAGCAAGCGUUGUUCGGAUUUACUGGGCGUAAAGGGCGCGUAGGCGGCCACUGCAAGUCGGUUGUGAAAUCUCCGGGCUUAACCCGGAAAGGUCAAUCGAUACUGCAGGGCUAGAGUGCAGAAGGGGCAACUGGAAUUCUCGGUGUAGCGGUGAAAUGCGUAGAUAUCGAGAGGAACACCUGCGGCGAAGGCGACUGUCUGGGCCAAUACUGACACUGAGGUACGAAAGCGUGGGUAGCGAACAGG